rnacentral:rRNA from 1 species
CGGUCCAGACUCCUACGGGAGGCAGCAGUAGGGAAUCUUCCGCAAUGGGCGAAAGCCUGACGGAGCAACGUCGCGUGAGUGAUGAAGGUCUUCGGAUCGUAAAACUCUGUUAUUAGGGAAGAACAUACGUGUAAGUAACUGUGCACGUCUUGACGGUACCUAAUCAGAAAGCCACGGCUAA